rnacentral:tRNA from 1 species
GGGGAUUUAGCUCAGUGGUUAGAGCGUUUGCCUAGGAAGCGCAAGGCCCUGGGUUCGGUCCCCAGCUCCA